rnacentral:rRNA from 1 species
AGCGAACGCUGGCGGCAGGCCUAACACAUGCAAGUCGAACGAACCUUUCGGGGUUAGUGGCGGACGGGUGAGUAACACGUGGGAACGUGCCUUUAGGUUCGGAAUAACUCAGGGAAACUUGUGCUAAUACCGAAUGUGCCCUUCGGGGGAAAGAUUAAUCGCCUUUAGAGCGGCCCGCGUCUGAUUAGCUAGUUGGUUGAGGUAAUGGCUCACCAAGGCGACGAUCAGUAGCUGGUCGGAGAGGAUGAUCAGCCACAUUGGGACUGAGACACGGCCCAAACUCCUACGGGAGGCAGCAGUGGGGAAUCUUGCGCAAUGGGCGAAAGCCUGACGCAGCCAUGCCGCGUGAAUGAUGAAGGUCUUAGGAUUGUAAAAUUCUUUCACCGGGGACGAUAAUGACGGUACCCGGAGAAGAAGCCCCGGCUAACUUCGUG